UACGAGGGGGGCGAGCGUUGUUCGGAAUUAUUGGGCGUAAAGGGUGCGUAGGCGGUUCCGCAAGUCCUGUGUGAAAUCUUCGGGCUCAACUCGAAGUCUGCACGGGAAACUGCGGGGCUUGAGUGUGGGAGAGGUGAGUGGAAUUCCCGGUGUAGCGGUGAAAUGCGUAGAUAUCAGGAGGAACACCAAUGGCGAAGGCAGCUCGCUGGGACGGUACUGACGCUGAGACGCGAAAGCGUGGGGAGCAAACAGG
rnacentral:rRNA from 1 species